GCGGCGUGCCUAACACAUGCAAGUCGAGCGAGAAAGCCCGCAAGGGUGAGUAAAGCGGCGCACGGGUGCGUAACACGUGGGUAAUCUGCCCAGGAGUUCGGGAUAACUCGCCGAAAGGCGUGCUAAUACCGGAUAAGACCACGGGAGCUUCGGCUCCUGCGGGAAAAGGUGGCCUCUGUAUACAAGCUAUCACUCCUGGAUGAGCCCGCGGCCCAUCAGCUCGUUGGCGGGGUAACGGCCCACCAAGGCUACGACGGGUAGCUGGUCUGAGAGGACGAUCAGCCACACUGGAACUGAGACACGGUCCAGACUCCUACGGGAGGCAGCAGUGGGGAAUCUUGCGCAAUGGGCGAAAGCCUGACGCAGCAACGCCGCGUGUGUGAUGAAGGUCUUCGGAUCGUAAAGCACUGUCGCGAGGGACGAAUAAGGACUGGGUGAACAAUCCAGGACGAUGACGGUACCUCGAGAGGAAGCACCGGCUAACUCUGUGCCAGCAGCCGCGGUAAUACAGAGGGUGCAAGCGUUGUUCGGAAUUAUUGGGCGUAAAGCGCGUGUAGGCGGCUCUUCAAGUCAGGUGUGAAAGCCCUCGGCUUAACCGAGGAAGUGCGCCUGAAACUGUGGAGCUUGAGUACCGGAGAGGGUGGCGGAAUUCCCGGUGUAGAGGUGAAAUUCGUAGAUAUCGGGAGGAACACCAGUGGCGAAGGCGGCCACCUGGACGGCUACUGACGCUGAGACGCGAAAGCGUGGGGAGCAAACAGGAUUAGAUACCCUGGUAGUCCACGCUGUAAACGAUGAGCGCUAGGUGUUGCGGGUGUUGACCCCUGCAGUGCCGCAGCUAACGCAUUAAGCGCUCCGCCUGGG
rnacentral:rRNA from 1 species